rnacentral:rRNA from 1 species
CCUACGGGUGGCAGCAGUGGGGAAUAUUGCACAAUGGGCGCAAGCCUGAUGCAGCCAUGCCGCGUGUGUGAAGAAGGCCUUCGGGUUGUAAAGCACUUUCAGCCGGGAGGAAGGCGUUAAGGUUAAUAACCUUGGCGAUUGACGUUACCCGCAGAAGAAGCACCGGCUAACUCCGUGCCAGCAGCCGCGGUAAUACGGAGGGUGCAAGCGUUAAUCGGAAUUACUGGGCGUAAAGCGCACGCAGGCGGUCUGUCAAGUCGGAUGUGAAAUCCCCGGGCUCAACCUGGGAACUGCAUUCGAAACUGGCAGGCUAGAGUCUUGUAGAGGGGGGUGGAAUUCCAGGUGUAGCGGUGAAAUGCGUAGAGAUCUGGAGGAAUACCGGUGGCGAAGGCGGCCCCCUGGACAAAGACUGACGCUCAGGUGCGAAAGCGUGGGGAGCAAACAGGAUUAGAUACCCCUGUAGUC